CCCUUAGAUGUUCUGGGCCGCACGCGCACUACACUGACGGAUUCAACGAGCUUACAACCUUGGCCGAAAGGUCUGGGUAAUCUUCAAAAUCCGUCGUGAUGGGGAUAGAUUAUUGCAAUUAUUAAUCUUCAACGAGGAAUGCCUAGUAAGCGCAAGUCAUCAGCUUGCGUUGAUUACGUCCCUGCCCUUUGUACACACCGCCCGUCGCUCCUACCGAUUGAAUGGUCCGGUGAAGCGUUUGGACUAUGGUUUUCUGAUGGUCCGCCGUUGGAUUACCGUGGGAAGUUCGUUAAACCUUAUCAUUUAGAGGAAGGAGAAGUCGUAACA
rnacentral:rRNA from 1 species